CGCCGCGGUAACACGUAGGGGGCAAGCGUUGUCCGGAAUUACUGGGCGUAAAGGGCGUGUAGGCGGCCAUGUAUGUCAGGUGUGAAAUGCCACGGCUUAACCGGGGCACUGCACAUGAAACUGGAUGGCUUGAGUGCAGGAGAGGGAAGUGGAAUUCCUAGUGUAGCGGUGAAAUGCGUAGAUAUUAGGAGGAACACCAGUGGCGAAGGCGACUUCCUGGACUGUAACUGACGCUGAGGCGCGAAAGCGUGGGUAGCAAACAGGAUUAGAUACCCUGGUAGUCCACGCUGUAAACGAUGGGUACUAGGUGUGGGUAGUUCACUCUAUCCGUGCCGCAGCAAACGCAAUAAGUACCCCGCCUGGGGAGUACGGCCGCAAGGUUGAAACUCAAAGGAAUUGACGGGGGCCCGCACAAGCAGCGGAGCAUGUGGUUUAAUUCGAAGCAACGCGAAGAACCUUACCAGGGCUUGACAUGGCCGUGACAUGUUUAGAGAUAAACAGUUCUUUCGGGACAUGGUCACAGGUGGUGCAUGGCC
rnacentral:rRNA from 1 species